UAAAGGAGCCAGUGUCAGUGUGUGACAGAGAGCAGCAGUCACUGGGACUCAGUGUGUACUUUACCUCAGUGCUCCUCCCUCUGUCCUGCAGCCAUGAAGCUCCUACCAGCCCUGCUCACCCUCACAGCACUGGCUCUCUCAGGUGUGAAGGCUCAGAUUGUACUGACUGAGUCUGAACCAGUGGUGAAGAGACCAGGAGAAUCACACAAACUAACAUGUACAGCCACUGGCUUCACAUUCAGUAGCUACUGGAUGGGCUGGAUCAGACAGGCUCCUGGGAAGGGACUGGAGUGGUUGGCUCUCAUACACCCAAGCUCUAGUGGAGUUUACUAUGCCCAGUCUGUUCAGGGCAGAUUCACCAUCUCCAGAGACAACAGCAAGAACCAGCUGUAUUUACAGAUGAACAGCCUGAAAGCUGAAGACACGGCUGUGUACUACUGUGCCGGAGACUCACAGUGAUGGGGGCUGUGGGGAAGCCGUACAAAUACUACUUCCUCACAGAGAAUAAGGAUGACAUAUUAUCGAUUUAUUUAGGUAACUUGAUAAUUUAGUUAAUUAAUAUUUUUUCUUCUUUUAAAACAUUCAAAAAUGUACACAAAGCUGGGUACAGGAACAGUGAUAGAAUUCUUGACAGUUAAAGUAUAUGUGGGGAAAUGUUGAACCUCAACACAGUAAU